UGUGCAAUUCAAUGUGAUUUGAUUAUUUAUAAAAUUAUUUAGUUAAUUUUUAUGAAAUUAUUCUUUUUUUUAUUAUUUAAUUUGAAAAAAGAUUUUUAAUUAUAGUUUAUUAGUAAAGUGAUUGAAUUUUGAAAUAUUUAUUUAUAUUUAUAUAAGAAGAGUUAAUUUUUUGUACCUUGUGUAUCAGGGUUGAUUUAAUAAAAAUUAUUUAUUUAAUUUUCUCGAAUUAAGAAGGGCUAUUUUGAUAUUAAUUUAAUUGUUACAUAAAUUUUUUUAAUAUUUCUAUAGUAAUGAAAUGUUAUUCGUUUUUUAAUAUAUCUAGUUUUUUAAGAAAAGAAUUAAAUUCUAUUAUUAUUUAUUAAAAGUUAAUUUUUAACUUUUAGGUUUUAAUAUUAAACAUUUAAGGGGAUGAGCUUUUAAUUGUAACUCUAUAAACAUUAGGUUUUUAAUAAUUUGUAUAAUUAGAAUUGUUAAUCUUUAGAAUAAUUUUAUAGUUGAUUUUUUGUUGUUAUUAUUUAUAUUUGUUUUAGGUUUUAUAUUGAAAUAUAAUUUUUAAUUUUUAUUUAUUAUUGAUAAUGAUUAAAUUAGUAAAUUUGAAUUGUUUAAAUGUUUCUUUUUGAAAGGUUUAUAAAAGGAAUUCGGCAAAUUUUGUUUUUCGCCUGUUUAUUAAAAACAUGUCCUUUUGAUAAUAAUUUAAGGUCUGGUCUGCUCAAUGAAAAUUUAAAUUGCCGCGGUAUUCUGACCGUGCAAAGGUAGCAUAAUAAUUAGUUUUUUUAUUGAAAGCUGGAAUGAAUGAUUGGACGAGAAAACAACUGUCUCUUUAAAAAUUUUUGUUUAAUUUAACUUUUAAGUAAGAAGGCUUAGAUAUUUAUUAAAGACGAGAAGACCCUAUAGAGUUUUAUAUUUAUUGAGUAAUAAUUUAUUUGGAAUUUUUUAUUUUUUUAUUUUUUAAUUAUUUGGUUGGGGUGACUAAAAGAUUUAUUAAACUCUUUUAAUUUUGUUAUCAUUGAUUUGUGAAUUGAUUAUCUAGAUUUUUUAAAUUUAAGAUAAAUUACCUUAGGGAUAACAGCGUAAUUUCUUUUUAGAGUUCUUAUCAAUAAAGAAGUUUGCGACCUCGAUGUUGGAUUAAAAUUUAUUUUUGGUGCAAAAGCUUAAAUAUUAAGUCUGUUCGACUUUUAAAAUUUUACAUGAUCUGAGUUUAAACCGGUGUGAGCCAGGUUGGUUUCUAUCUUAAUCCAUUUAUUACAUUUUAGUACGAAAGGACCGGAUGUUGGAUAUAUUUUAUUUUAUUUUUGAAUAUUAUUAGUUACUUUGGCAGAUUAGUGCAAUUGAUUUAGAAUCUUUAAAUGUAAAUUUUUACAGGUAAU
rnacentral:rRNA from 1 species